GUAGGGUGCAAGCGUUAAUCGGAAUUACUGGGCGUAAAGCGUGCGCAGGCGGUUCGGAAAGAAAGAUGUGAAAUCCCAGAGCUUAACUUUGGAACUGCAUUUUUAACUACCGAGCUAGAGUGUGUCAGAGGGAGGUGGAAUUCCGCGUGUAGCAGUGAAAUGCGUAGAUAUGCGGAGGAACACCGAUGGCGAAGGCAGCCUCCUGGGAUAACACUGACGCUCAUGCACGAAAGCGUGGGGAGCAAACAGGAUUAGAUGCCCUGGUAGUCCACGCCCUAAACGAUGUCAACUAGCUGUUGGGGCCUUCGGGCCUUGGUAGCGCAGCUAACGCGUGAAGUUGACCGCCUGGGGAGUACGGUCGCAAGAUUA
rnacentral:rRNA from 1 species